rnacentral:rRNA from 1 species
UACGUAGGGACCGAGCGUUGUCCGGAAUCCUUGGGCGUAAAGAGCGUGUAGGCGGCUAUUUAAGUCCUGCGUGAAAUCCUGCGGCUCAACCGCAGACGGUCGUGGGAAACUGGAUGGCUAGAGUGCGGGAGAGGAGAGUGGAAUUCCCGGUGUAGCGGUGAAAUGCGCAGAUAUCGGGAAGAACACCCGUGGCGAAGGCGGCUCUCUGGAACGCAACUGACGCUGAGACGCGAAAGCGUGGGGAGCAAACAGG